UGAACACUGCCCACAAAACACGCGCACGCACGCACACAGUCAUGUGAUUUCCAGUAAAUGCAGACAGAGGAGCCUAGAAAGUGAAAGUAAACUUGUCCAGAGCAAAUGGGGCAGACGUGAAGUCAGAGGCUGCUCACAGUCAGUGUCAGUGUUUUUCCUCUCAGACUGAAGAUGAGUGGUUAUGAGGAGGAAGAGGAGGACAGAGCAGAGUCUCCAGUGUUCAGCUGUGUGUCUCUGAAGAGUGACCGGUCCAUGGCAGCUCCUCUAAACUUCAGUAAUGAACCUGGACCCUCACACACAAAAGGUCAGGACCACAGACUAAGAGCAGAGUCUCCAGGGUCCAGCUGUGUGUCUCUGAAGAGUGACCGAUCCAUGGGACCUCCUCCAAACUUCAGUAAUGAACCUGGACCCUCACACACAGAGUAAGAGACUGUUUCUACUUUGAACUGAUUGAACUUUGAAGUUGGUGACGGAUCCCUCAGAAUCACUCAAUGAGCUCAGACCUCCACUAAGAACCAUCAGGCUCCUUAUGAAACUGUUACGCCCUGAAAAGGGAAGAUAUCAAUAAAGACGCUCAGACACGA